rnacentral:lncRNA from 1 species
ACCAAUCUGUCCCUUGGCUCGAGCUCGAGGUCUGAAAGUUGCAUGACGUCUGUACUCAUUCCUCGGAUGCUAGUAACAUAGCACUGUCUGGCAGCCGUUUGGUUUCAUCUAACUACUUCGAUGCCAUGACCUGUGGGGAAUUUCAUGGCAAGGUGGAAGGUUGAUACAAUAGCCUGGAUCUUGUUUAGUAGGGGUCUUCCCAGAACGAUGUUGUAGGC